GUAGUAUUUUUCCGUCCAACAAAGGAUGUCUUAACUUUGACUAAAUUUGAAUGCAUCUAUACACUAAGUCAUGUCUAGAUACAUCCAAAUUUUGACAAACUUGAGACAUUUUUUGUUGGACGGAGGAAGUAUAUG
rnacentral:pre_miRNA from 1 species